GCCCGAUAGGGGCCAGAGCCGGGCGACUGCGGCCGGGCGCACCCGCCACCUGCCCGCGGACUGCGGCGCAGCGGUCCCAGGAAGUGCGGCGGCGGCGGCGGCCUCCACUCAGCUCUGUUGUGACAGGGAGGGAGACUUGUUUUGACAGCCCUUGGGGAUUGGCAGGCGUCUGGGCCUCUUAGGAGCCUCGCCUCGCCGAGGGGGCUCGGCCCGACCAAUCCUCACUGCGGAGGGGUGUGCCCGAGCGCGAAGAAUGGAAUGUGUUCUGCAACUGGGAGCCGGCCCAGCGGGGCUAAUGUACUCGAGCCAGGGUGUACCCGCGCGCGCGCGUGUGCAAACCCGGAGGCGCUCCGUGUAUAUUUUAGGAAGUUUAGAUUUGCGAAAUGAGCCUGAGAUGCAACAAAAAUCCAGGUUGGGUGAAGGAGAGGGGAGAAAGAAACCUUCUUCUGCCAAACAAAGCAAUUUGGAGGAAAGUGGGUAUUGAGUAUGAAUGUCUAAGCGUUUGGGGUGACGGGGUGAAGCUUUGCGUGGUCACAGGUUAAUUGCAGGCUCUCAGGCCAAUUCUUAGAAGUCAAGUCCAUGCAGAGAUAAACUAGGGUUUACUGGGAUCUUGGGGUUCCAUAAUUUGCUUCAGGUUCCAGGAAAGGAUUCUAAGGUCAUUCUGCAGUGUGAGUAAAUAUAACAAGGAAAGGGAGUCAGUGAAAGAGAUGAGGGUGAAAGGAAACUGAACCAACUAAAUCCCUCCGAAGACUGACUCUUAAAAAGCACAGAUAUAAUCCAAGUCAGAUAAAUGCAGGUGGGGAGUUUAGUCUCUAUCCUAAAACAUUCCUAUUUGACAAUGGUUCAGCCUCCUUUCUCUAUAUAAUCCUAUAUAAAAACAUAUUUUGCUCAUUUCCAGUAAGCUAGCAACCAAGAAGGGAGAGAUCUUUGGAUGAUGAGUUAAGUCACUGAAAUUAUCCACAGAAUGCUCAGAUGCAAACCAUGGUCCUAAGGCUCCCUGAAUGCCAUCUCCAUGUGCCUAAAGACCUUGCGAUUUUAUUCAUUGCUGUAUCUCCAGCUCCCAGAACUAUGUCUGGAACAGAGUCUCCUAAUAAGUUAAAGGACGCAUUGCACGUAAUCAAAGAAGAGGACAUACAGCAUUUUCAGUUAAGUUGCAUGCAUCUUUACAUUCAGUCAUAGCCCUCCCCAAUAUACAUGGUGAUCAUUUUGUUUUGCUAGCUCAAGAAAACAGAAUUUGUAGGGUAAUUUGUAGAGUGAAUAUUAUAGUAGAGUAAAUACAUACAAGUCAAUAAAAGAUAAGCAAAACUUGAUAUAUGACCUCUUUGAAAUUCAAGUUUUUUCUUGAAAGUUUUUGUCACUUAUAUUAGGAAUUAAGAAAUUUCAGUAACUAAAACAUAAAAAUCAACUAAUCUUAUUUCAAAGAACAAGUAAAGUGUGCUCCAUUAUAACAGUCCUACAAAAAUGAGAAGUUACAAAUUGCUUAUAAUAGGUCUAGAUUCCCCAGUUUAAUAAAUCUUUAAAGUACUGAGAGGCAAUGAAUCUAAGAAAUCUUUAAUUACAGCCAAUGUUCUUCAAUGUCUGAUUACUGCUGCUUCUUUCAGAGGUUGAGAAAUCUCUACUGUCUGCAGGAGAGCAGAAUGCCUGGGCCUCUAUCCAUUAACACCAUUCCCACAGGAAUUACCCCAUGAAGACCCUGGGGCUAAGGCACUAUCAGGAGCUCCAGGCCAAUCAUCUGGCAGUAGUCUGUAUUGUGCAUGGCAAAGGUCUUUUAAAAAUAGACAGUGUUGAUUUAUUUUCUAUGUAUUAACUUACUUUGACGUGGAUCCUGGAGUUGGAGCUCAUGUCACGGUUUUUUCCCCCACUGAUGCAGAAGCCAGAGGCACUUAGGAAAAGUACCACUGAAAUGGCACAAAUAAGGCCCCCAUAAAAACUUGAUUCUCUGUUUUAUUUGACAACCGAAUCUUUUCCAGGUACAACGUUAUGACAGAAAUCUUUUCAAACCAGAUAUACACCCAAUGCCUGACAUUUUCAAUGCAGAAGUGAAUAUACAGUAGGUUCCUCCUCCCCUCGAGCCCCCAAAUCCCAGGUACAUUCCUCAAAUCUAAAUCACCUACACGAUGUUGGGGUUUUUAAUCCUCCAACUUAUACCAAGGUAUGAAGUUUAUUAAUGCUUUUUAGUGUCACAGGGCCCAUUGGAAGAAACUGCAGAGUCAUAUUUCCUUUUCUAAUGCACUUCUUUUCUCCACUCAUAAUGUGUAAGACUCUUACACCUAUUUUAUAGACUUUAUUGAUAUGCCUUUGUUCUAGUCUACCUUAAACCUUUCGGGAGGAAGAAGCAGAGUGCAAUAUUUGAAUAAAUAUAAAAUCAUAAUGCAUGUUUUACAUUAAAAUAUAGGACAAAAGUAAAGUAUAGUUUGUUUUGUAAGCCCUUUUUUUCCGAGUUAGUUUUCAGGUAUAUAGCUCUUUUGUUAAGCAUGAUACGAAGUUUGUCUGCUUUACAAAAUGAGGAGUUAGAAAAAGUGAAUCCUUCCUUUUAAAAAAAAAAACAAACAAACAAACAAACAAAAAAAAGCCAAAUGCCUCAUGAAAGCUGGCUUGCCAGCGUUUGCUCUGUCAUUAACCCCUGUGAGAAUCACGCAGUUCCCACUCUCAUUAAGUCAUAUAGGUCACCAUGGAUACAACUGCCUCUACUCAGCCCACAGUACGGGAGCAACAGCUGUUGAACCACACUUGGGACUUUUGCCAUUCACUGUUCUGUAUAAAUUGUACUGGUGAAACAUUUCAGAUAAUGUUACAAUUGUUUUUGAAAUUUUAAGUAUGUUGUAGGAAACAUCUGAAAUAUUAGACAACAGUAAAGGACUGAAAUUUAAUUUAACUUGUGAAAUAGAAUAACAAGUAAGAAGCACCGUACAUUUUGUGUAAUAAGAUGUUGCGGCACUUUCUUCAAAUUUUCUCCUAACCAAAAUGAAAUUUUAAUAACUAAACUGAUAGCUGCAGAUAAAAUCUACUUGGAAGAUUCUUUGACAAGCAAAUACUUAACUCUGGGCAAAAACCACAAAACAGUACUAUUUUAUACUAUAAUUUAUAAAGGAAGGAAUAUGUUUUCUGAUUUGUGAUGAUCAUUAUAUUUCUCAUCAAUAAGCUACUGUGAAUUCUAAAAUUCAGAAAAGUAAAAUAUGUAGUUAAAAUUUUACCCUUCUGCCUACCAUAAUUUUUCUAUAUUCAGGAUAUGGAUUAAAGAGAUUUUACUUUGUUUUAUGAAAAUGUGAUGAGAUGGUCUGUGAUCUGUGAUUGAAACAAAAAAAAAUC
rnacentral:lncRNA from 1 species